CUCCACCUGCCCGGGUUUGUUGUUCGGAGUUGUCUCUCUCCUAGGCGAACUGCCUACCACGGCUAACGAGCUCCACCUGCCCGGGUUUGUUGUUUGGAGUUUGCUCUCCUAGGUGAACUGCCUACCACGGCUAACGAGCUCCACCUGCCCGGGUUUGUUGUUUGGAGUUUGCUCUCCUAGGUGAACUGCCUACCACGGCUAACGAGCUCCACCUGCCCGGGUUUGUUGUUUGGAGUUUGCUCUCCUAGGUGAACUGCCUACCACGGCUAACGAGCUCCACCUGCCCGGGUUUGUUGUUCGGAGUUUGCUCUCCUAGGUGAACUGCCUACCACGGCUAACGAGCUCCACCUGCCCGGGUUUGUUGUUCGGAGUUUGCUCUCCUAGGUGAACUGCCUACCACGGCUAACGAGCUCCACCUGCCCGGGUUUGUUGUUCGGAGUUUGCUCUC